rnacentral:rRNA from 1 species
CCUACGGGUGGCAGCAGUAGGGAAUAUUGCUCAAUGGGGGAAACCCUGAAGCAGCAACGCCGCGUGGAGGAUGAAGGUUUUCGGAGUGUAAACUCCUUUUUUUAGAGAAGAUAAUGACGGUAUCUAACGAAUAAGCACCGGCUAACUCCGUGCCAGCAGCCGCGGUAAUACGGAGGCUGCCAGAGUUCCUCGGACUCACUGGGGGUAAAGAGCGCGUAGGCGGGAUAACAAGUCAGAGGUGAAAUACUAUGGCUUAACCAUAGAACUGCAUUUGAAACUGUUAUUCUAGAGUAUGGGAGAGGUAGGUGGAAUUCAUGGUGUAGCGGUAAAAUGCGUAGAGAUCA